GAAAGACAUCACUCACAGAAGAAGCACCGGCUAACUCCGUGCCAGCAGCCGCGGUAAUACGGAGGGUGCGAGCGUUAAUCGGAAUUACUGGGCGUAAAGCGCGCGUAGGUGGCUUGAUAAGCCGGUUGUGAAAGCCCCGGGCUCAACCUGGGAACGGCAUCCGGAACUGUCAGGCUAGAGUGCAGGAGAGGAAGGUAGAAUUCCCGGUGUAGCGGUGAAAUGCGUAGAGAUCGGGAGGAAUACCAGUGGCGAAGGCGGCCUUCUGGACUGACACUGACACUGAGGUGCGAAAGCGUGGGUAGCAAACAGGAUUAGAUACCCUGGUAGUCCACGCCGUAAACGAUGUCGACUAGCCGUUGGGGUCCUUGAGACCUUUGUGGCGCAGUUAACGCGAUAAGUCGACCGCCUGGGGAGUACGGCCGCAAGGUUAAAACUCAAAUGAAUUGACGGGGGCCCGCACAAGCGGUGGAGCAUGUGGUUUAAUUCGAUGCAACGCGAAGAACCUUACCUACCCUUGACAUCGUGCGAACUUGGUAGAGAUACCUUGGUGCCUUCGGGAACGCACAGACAGGUGCUGCAUGGCUGUCGUCAGCUCGUGUUGUGAAAUGUUGGGUUAAGUCCCGUAACGAGCGCAACCCUUGUCCCUAUUUGCCAGCGAUUCGGUCGGGAACUCUAGGGAGACUGCCGGUGACAAACCGGAGGAAGGUGGGGACGACGUCAAGUCAUCAUGGCCCUUACGGGUAGGGCUACACACGUGCUACAAUGGCCGGUACAAUGGGUUGCGAAUCCGCGAGGUGGAGCUAAUCCCAUAAAGCCGGUCUCAGUCCGGAUCGGAGUCUGCAACUCGACUCCGUGAAGUCGGAAUCGCUAGUAAUCGUGAAUCAGAAUGUCACGGUGAAUACGUUCCCGGGCCUUGUACACACCGCCCGUCACACCAUGGGAGUGGACUGCACCAGAAGUGGUUAGCUUAACCUUCGGGAGAG
rnacentral:rRNA from 1 species